rnacentral:rRNA from 1 species
AACGAACGCUGGCGGCAGGCCUAACACAUGCAAGUCGAACGAGAAGCUACCUUCGGGUAGUGGAAAGUGGCAGACGGGUGAGUAACGCGUGGGAAUAUACCUAGAGGUACGGGACAACGCCGGGAAACUGGUGCUAAUACCGUAUACGCCCUUCGGGGGAAAGAUUUAUCGCCUUUAGAUUAGCCCGCGUUAGAUUAGCUUGUUGGUGAGGUAAAAGCUCACCAAGGCGACGAUCUAUAGCUGGUCUGAGAGGAUGAUCAGCCACACUGGGACUGAGACACGGCCCAG